UCCUGCAUCGGCCUCCUGAAGAAGACGAACGGAUGAAAGAUUCAUGAAGGAGGUGAAUGUUGGGGCACAACGAAACGAGCCGCUGCUCCAAACACUCGUCUCUCUUUCACCUGUGGCCCACCAGACGGCAGAACCGGUGUGUGAGCACAGACAGCACCAGAAUAACCCGGCUCUUCCCGUCUGCAGCUGUUCUCUGUAAUGCUGAGGAUCCAGCAGGUGCUUUUUCUAUGUGGAUGAACCCAAUAACCUGUUCCUGUGAGUGAAUCUUUGCUUGUAAUGUGUUGGAUAUUCUUCAACAAGGAAUCAACAAGAUGUAAAAGAGCUGUGUGAAGAUUGUCUGUUUUCCGCUGAAUACAGGUUCGGAGCGACAUGAGGGCGCUGUGGGAUGCACUGACCUGCGCUGCGACACACAGACAUGUUACAUCUUUAAAGCUGAUUGAUUUUAUAGGUUGUGAUUUCCUUCCCUGCGGCCCGGUGUCUUGUGUUUUUACGCCUGUCAGGGGCCGUUAGUCUUCUCCGAUAACAACAGUCACUACUUUCUGCGUUUUUUCAAAGUCAUCUUUUAUUCAUGACUGAUAAGAAUCCAAGAAACGUAAGAUAACAGAGAAAGAGACACAAGAUUUAGUAAUUAAUGCUGAUAACUAAUAAUCCUCACAAUAAUCUUUUAUGUCUACAACCUAUUCAUGAGAGCAAAAAAUGACUACUUUUAAUUCAGAUGUCACUUUUUACAGCAGGGAGCAGAAGCUGGCGUGUUUCUGAGCUCCGGGGUCAGCUGGAGCGUGACCUUUGACCUGCAGGCUCUGCUUCAGAAAUGAGUUGACAAACAUCUCCAGGAGUUUGACAGAAUCAGUCUGAGUGAUCUGAUUUCAGGAGAUCAGCUCGUCUCGUAACGGCUCUUAUGUGGACACCCUUAACGAUGAAAGCAGGCCGGGAUCAAAGAAAGCUCAUAAUGGCGUGUGGCAUGAAGCAGUGCGCACUACAAAGCAGCGCACUAAUAAGGGAAGUGGAGAAGAGCUCUUGACGGUGGCAGAGGAGCAGUGCAGAUGUGCCAUGAGAGCCUCUUCACACAAACGUACCUCGCCGCACUGAAUAUUAAUCAGACGCACGAUGACCGGCAGUUAUUUCAGUGCAGAAAGUGCAUCUCAUCAGGUCUGUUCAUCAUUUACCACACUGUUUACCUUCGAAAACAGCAUCCAAAGUUAACUUAAAUGCUCUUAAUGCUUUAAAUCCACUAAAAUAGACUCGAGAAUUAGUUGAUUUUAAUCAUUAGCAUGUAUAUGAGUUAAUGACUAUUCUUAAAGUACAAAAUAUAUCAUAGUCAAUCCUGUUAUAAACUACAUUCUCCUGUCUUAAUUUACUAUAUUCAUUUAUUUUGUAAAAUAUAUGGGUCAGUUCUGCUAUAUAUGUGUGUGUGUGUGUGUGAAAGUGAAAUA